UACAUGUGGGGCAAGCGUUGUUCGGAAUUACUGGGCGUAAAGCGUGCGCAGGCGGUUCGUUAAGUUCGAUGUGAAAGCCCCGGGCUCAACCUGGGAAUUGCAUUGGAAACUGGCGGGCUUGAGUGUGGCAGAGGGGGGUGGAAUUCCACGUGUAGCAGUGAAAUGCGUAGAUAUGUGGAGGAACACCGAUGGCGAAGGCAGCCCCCUGGGUUAACACUGACGCUCAUGCACGAAAGCGUGGGGAGCAAACAGG
rnacentral:rRNA from 1 species